rnacentral:rRNA from 1 species
GUUCUUUUAUUUAGGAAAAAAAGCUUGAUAGGAAAUGAUUAAGCCUUGAUCGUACUAAAUGAAUAAGUGACAGCUAACUAUGUGCCAGCAGCUGCGGUAAAACAUAGGUCACGAGCAUUAUCCGGAUUUAUUGGGCGUAAAGGAAGCGUAGGCGGACAAGUUGAUCUAUUGUGAAAAGCACUUGCUCAACAAGUUGUUUGUGAUAGAUAUCGCUUGUCUAGAAUUAGUUAGGAGAUACUGGAAUUCAAUGUGUAGCGGUGGAAUGCGUAGAUAA